rnacentral:rRNA from 1 species
GACGAACGCUGGCGGCGUGCUUAACACAUGCAAGUCGAACGGAAAGGCCCUGCUUGCAGGGUGCUCGAGUGGCGAACGGGUGAGUAACACGUGGGUGAUCUGCCCCUUACUUUGGGAUAAGCCUGGGAAACUGGGUCUAAUACUGGAUAGGACCAUGCUGUAGGUGGUGUGGUGGAAAGAUUAGUUUCGGUAAGGGAUGAGCUCGCGGUCUAUCAGCUUGUUGGUGGGGUAAUGGCCUACCAAGGCGUCGACGGGUAGCCGGCCUGAGAGGGUGGACGGCCACAUUGGGACUGAGAUACGGCCCAGACUCCUACGGGAGGCAGCAGUGGGGAAUAUUGCACAAUGGGCGCAAGCCUGAUGCAGCGACGCCGCGUGGGGGAUGACGGCCUUCGGGUUGUAAACUCCUUUCAGCCAUGACGAAGCCCUUGUGGUGACGGUAGUGGUAGAAGAAGCACCGGCUAACUACGUG